GUAGUUGAGGAUCGCCAGAUCGGUCCCCGGUUUGAAGACGAUCGGAAUAUCCGCAAGAUCCAUGCUGCGGUGGGUGAAGGUCGAC
rnacentral:sRNA from 1 species